rnacentral:rRNA from 1 species
CCUACGGGUGGCAGCAGUGGGGAAUAUUGCACAAUGGGCGCAAGCCUGAUGCAGCCAUGCCGCGUGUGUGAAGAGGGCCUUCGGGUUGUAAAGCACUUUCAGCGGGGAGGAAGGCGGUGAGGUUAAUAACCUCAUCGAUUGACGUUACCCGCAGAAGAAGCACCGGCUAACUCCGUGCCAGCAGCCGCGGUAAUACGGAGGGUGCAAGCGUUAAUCGGAAUUACUGGGCGUAAAGCGCACGCAGGCGGUCUGUCAGGUCGGAUGUGAAAUCCCCGGGCUCAACCUGGGAACUGCAUUCGAAACUGGCAGGCUAGAGUCUUGUAGAGGGGGGUAGAAUUCCAGGUGUAGCGGUGAAAUGCGUAGAGAUCUGGAGGAAUACCGGUGGCGAAGGCGGCCCCCUGGACAAAGACUGACGCUCAGGUGCGAAAGCGUGGGGAGCAAACAGGAUUAGAUACCCUUGUAGUC